rnacentral:lncRNA from 10 species
GAUACAAUCUCCUGGUGUGCCAUUUGCUAAGACCAUUGGAAAAGCGCAGUGUUUAGGUGGCAGUGUCUCAAUUUUCCCGGUACAGUCUGUCAUGGCUUCCCUUGGCUAGGAAAGGGAAAUCCCCAAACCCCUUGUACUUCUUGAGUGAGGCGAUGCCCCGCCCUGCUUUGGCUGGCUCUCCAAGGGCUGCACCCACUUUCCGAGCAGUCCCAAUGAGAUGAACCAAAUACCUCUGUUGGAAAUGCAGAAAUCAUCUGUCUUCUGCAUCGAUCAUACUGACAGCUGCAGACCGGAGCUGUUCCUGUUCGGCCAUCUUGGAAGGGACCCCCAUUUUGUUUUUUUUCUUGCUUUAUUUUUUGAGUUUCUUGUAGAUUCUGGAUAUUAGUCCUUCGUUGGGUGCAUAGGUUACAAAAAAUUUUCUCCCAUUCUGUGUGUUGCCUGUUUACUUUGCUGAUUAUUUCUUUUGCUGUACAGAAGCUUUUUAGUUUAAUUAGGUCCCAUCCAUUUAUCUUUGUUUUUGUUGCAUUUGUGUUUGGGUUCUUGGUCAUGAAUUCUUUGCCUAAGCUAACAUUGAGAAAAGUUUUUCAAAUGUUAUCUUCUUGAAUUUUUAUGGUGUCAGGUCUUAGAUUUAAGUCUUUGGUCCAUCAUCAGUUGAUUUUUGUGUAACGUGAGAGAUGAGGAUCCAGCUUCAUUCUUCUAUAUGUGGCUUGCCAAUUAUCCCAGCACCAUUUGUUGAAUAGGAUGUCCUUUCCCCACUUUAUGUUUUUGUUUGCUUUGUCAAAGAUCAGUUGGCUGUAAAUAUUUAGCUUUAUUUCUAGGUUCUGUAUUCUGUUUCAUUAGUCUACAUGCCUAUUUCCUUUUUUUUUUUUUUUUUUUUUGAGACCGAGUUUCACUCUUGUUGCCCAAGCUGGAGUGCAAUGGUGCGAUCUCAGCUCACCACAACCUCCACCUCCUGGGUUCAAGCAAUUCUCCUGCCUCAGGCUCCCAAGUAGUUGGGAUUACAGGCAUGUGCCACCACACCCAGUUAACUUUGUAUUUUUAGUAGAGACAGGGUUUCUCCAUGUUGGUCAGGCUGGGCUCAAACUCCCAACCUCAGGUAAUCUGCCCACCUCGGCCUCCCAAAGUGCUGGGAUUACAGGCAUGAGCCACUGCGCUCCGCCUUACAUGCCUAUUUUUAUACCAGUACCAUGCCACUUUUGUAACUAUAGCCUUGUAGUAUAGUUUGAAGUCCAGUAAUGUUAUGCCUCUAGGUUUGUUCUUUUUGCUUAGUCUUGCCUUGGCUAUGUGAGAUCCUUUUUGGUUCUUUUUUGGUUCCAUAUGAAUUUUAGGAUUGUUUUCAUAACAAGAAAUUUCCUUUAAACACGUUGGCUGAUUGUACCACCAUUUUUUCCUUCCUACAUAAAUAGAAAUAUUAGAUGAGUGAGGUUAGGAGUACUACUGAGAAUGGUUAGCUGUUCACUCCUCUUUCUUAUGAGCCAGCUGCCCUUGGGGAACAGAUAUCUGCCUUGCUGUUAUUACAAAACUUGGCUUAUGUGCUCACUUUAACAGCACCUGUACUAAAAUUGGAAUGAUACAGAGAUUAGCGUGGUCCCUACACAAGGAUGAUAUGCAAUGUGUGGAGUGUUCCAUAUUUUUAAUCAUUGGCAUCCCUGAAAGAGAUGGGGAGGGCACAAACAACUUGAAAACUGUUCCAGGUUAUCAUUUAUGAAAACAUCGCCAACCUCUCUAGAGAAGUCAACAGUCAAAUUCUGGAAAUACAGAGAACCUCUGCAAGAUUCUACAGAAGAAGAUCACCCCCAAGACACAUAAUCAUCAGAUUUUCUAAGGUCAAAAUAAAAGAAAGGAAUGUUAAAGGCAGCUAGAGAGAAAGGGCAGGUCACCUACAAAGGGAACCUCAUCAGGCUAACAGCAAGCUGCUCAGCGGAAACCUUACAAGCCAGAAGAGAUUGAGAGCCUAUAUAAUGUUCUUAAAAAAAAAAAUCUUCAACCAAGAAUUACAUAUCCAGCCAAACUAAGCUUUCUUAGCAAAAGAGAAAUAAAAUCCUUUCCCUAUAAGCAAAUGGUGAGGGAGUUUGUUACCACUAGACCUGCCUGACAAGAGAUCUUGAAAGAAGCACUAAAUAUGGAAAGGAAAGACCAUUACCAGCCAAUACAAAAACACACUUAAGUGAACAGACCAGUGACACUAUAAAGCAACCACACAAACAAGCCAGCAUAAUAACCACCUAACAACAGAAUGACAGGAUCAAAUGUACACAUAUCCAUAUUAACUUUGAAUAUAAAUGGGCUAAAUGCCCCCACUUAAAAAGCACAGAGUGGUAAGGUAGAU